GCUGUGUCUGACAUAAAAACAGAAGCUCUCCUUCGAUUCACUCAUUGGGAGAGGAAUUUUUCAGCAGCAUAAGGCCUCAAGAUGAGUUGUCAGAGGGUCAGCUGCUGCUCAACCUGAACACCUAUUUAUUUAUUUAUUGCUUUUUGAGACAGAGUCUUGUUCUGUAACUCAGGCUGAAGUGCAAUGGCACGAUCUUGGCUCACUGGAACCUCCGCCUCCCAGGUUCAAGCCAUUUUCCUGCCUCAGCCUACUGAGUAGCUGGGAUUACAGGCACACACCACCACACCCAGCUAAUUUUUGUAAUUUUAGUAGAGACAGGGUUUCACCAUGUUGCCUAGGCUGGUCUCGAACUCCUAGCCUCAAGUGAUCUGCCUGCCUUGGCUUCCCAAAGUGCUGGGAUUGCACUCAAAACAAAACAAAACAAAAACACAAAGAAAAAAAAACAAAGAGUAUGGUUUGAUUGAAUUUUUUUUUUUUUUUUGAGAUGGAUUUUCACUCUUGUUGCCCAGGUUGGAGUGCAAUGGUGUGAUCUUGGCUCACUGCAACCUCUGCUUCACAGGUUCAAGCAAUUCUCCUGCCUCAGCCUCCCGAGUAUCUGGGAUUACAGCCACGUGCCACCAUGCCUGGCUAGUUUUUUGUAUUUUUAUUAGAGAUGGGUUUCACCAUCUUGGCCAGGCUGGUCUCAAACUCCUGACCUCAGGUGAUCUGCCCGCCUCGGCCUCCCAAAGUGCUGGGAUUACAGGCAUGAACCAUUGCGCCCAGCCUGAUUGGAAUUUUAUAAUCAGUAUUUUUUUCAAACUGGAUUUUCAUUUUAGUUGGUUAUGAACAGUGUGAACAAAAAAUAGAAUAAUAAAGAAUACAGUGCAUUACAGAUACAACUUUAGGCAGACAAAGGACCUUCAGAGAACAACUUUAUCCUAUGCUUCGGGAGAGACAGAGGAUUGAGAGACAGGAAGAUGGGAGGAAAGUCAGAGAGAUGUGGCCUCUUCUUCAGUUCAGCAUGUCAAAGCACCGUGUUUUGGGAUAUCAGUUUUGGGACCCAGCCUAGUAUAGCUCCCUAGUCCUGGGUCCCAGUCUCAGAUCUCUUCAAGAUAAAUGAUCUCAUUAAUGUCCUGAUUUUUUUUCAUCAUCCAAUUACCAAGCUCAUCUGAGCUGGUAAAUCUGUUGUUAUAUGAUCAUGUAACUCUGGAAGGUUUAGAGUUAAAUAUAGAAACGACGAGCUAAAUCAAACCCAUAGUACUAAUAUUUUUAGUACUAACCAUUAAGUGUAAGACAAUCUGUGUGUGUCUGCUAUUCAUGCGAAGUUUAAUAGUAAAGAAAGAAAUUAUCCUCGUAGGGAACCUCACAGAUUACCUUGCAAUUUCAAUUUAAAAUGUGCAAUUGAUUUUAUACUUGUGACUUUAAAUUGAAGGUGUAAGAGAAUUUGAUAAAGUGUAUACAUUGUACUGAUUGUAUUAAGAGAAUCUUGUUACAAGAGUGUCCGCUAAGGCUGUCAGGAGGUCUUCCUGAAGGUCUCAUGACAGUUGCUUCUGCUACAAAUGGCUGUUAUAGGCUGUGCCAUUUCCCCUUUUACCAAAUGAACCCCAACAGGCUCAGGAAACGAUAAGGCACAGCUGAGACCAGACUGCAAUAUUUAAAUGCAAAUUUUGCUAAAGGUUCACGUAGGGAUCAGCAAACAUUUUUUGUAAAGAACUACAUUGUGAAGAUUUUACUCUUUAGGGCCCGGGAGGAAAAAUUGAGAUUAUGUAGAUACUUACAUAACGAUUUAAAAUGUAGCCACUUAAAAAAUAUAAAAACUGGGCCGGGGGCGGUGGCUCAUGCCUGUAAUCCCAGCACUUUGGAAGGCCAGGGCGGGUGGAUCACGAGGUCAAGAGAUUGAGACCAUCCUAGCCAACAUGGUGAAACCCCGUCUCUACUAAAAACACAAAAAUUAGCUGGGCGUGGUGGCGCACGCCUGUAGUCCCAGCCACUCAGGAGGCUGAGGCAGGAGAAUUGCUUGAACCUGGGAGGCGGAGGUUGCAGUGAGCCGAGAUGGCGCCACUGCACUCCAGACUGGUGACAGAGUAAGACUCCAACUCAAAAAAAUAUAUACAUUUAAAAAUAUAUUUAAAUGUAUAUAUAUAUUUAAAAUGUAUAUAUAAAAAUAUAUACUUUAUAUAUUUUAUAUGUAUAUAUAUAAUACAUAUAAACUGACCAGGCGAAGUGGCUCAUGCCUGUAAUCCCAGCACUUUGGGAGGCUGAGGCAGGUGGAUCACUCGAGGUCAGGAGUUCAAGACCAGCCUGGCCAACAUGAUGAAACCCUGUCUCCACUAAAAAUACAAAAAUUACCUGGGCAUGCUGGCGGGCACCUGUAAUCCCAGCUACUCUGGAGGCUGAGGCACAAGAAUUGCUUGAAUUCAGGAGGUGGAGACGGCAGUGAGCCGAGUUCCCACCACUGCCCUCCAGCCUGGGGGAUACAGCGAGACUCAGUCCCAAA
rnacentral:lncRNA from 10 species